UACUAAUAGAAAAAGAGCGAAUGACAAUUUAAGGGACAACUUGUGGAUUGCCUAUUUUACCCCUAAAAUAUAAAUUUGUUAGUAUAUAUUAAUAAUUAUCAAGCUCGCGAUUUUUCAAUUAAUUUUGACUUCUUUCUUUUUUUUCCUUUUUAAAGAGAAUGACAUUGAGUGAAUUAAGGGAUAUAAUAUAAUUAUCUUAUCAACCUCACGAUUUUUCAAUUCAUUGACUUCUUUCUUUUUUUUCUUUUUUAAAGAGAAUGACAUUGAGUGAAUUAAGGGAUAUAAUAUAAUUAUCUUAAUUAAGGGAUAUAAUAUACUUAUCUAUGGAAGAAGUUCACUCUAAUUCCGUAUAUAUUUAUAUAUAUCAAAAUCUUUAUCUUAUGUACUAACUAAACUAAACUCUAAAUAUAAAUAAAAAUUAAUUAAAGUUCUAAUUCUUCUCCAACUCAAUCAAUUAUCUCCUCACAACUAACUCAAAGCCAUCCUUCCGCACCAUCGCAUACAACCUCGCCGCCGCUGUGAGCCUCCGGUCCGCCGCGCUUCACCGUUGCUCUUAGUCUUUUUUCCGGUCGCCGCCUCCCCUCUUCGAAGGCCGGUUGAGGUAUAUAUACGAUCCUUGAAUUCUUUUGUUUGAUAUCUUGAUAUUUUUUGUUGUUAAGAUGGCCGGAUUAUGCGGCAACUUUAUAAAUUGGAGUAGUUACAGUGCGAAAGAUUAAAAAAAAAACCUUUUUUUCUUGCUAAUCUGAAUAUAUUUGUGGGAUGAAUAUGUUAGCUAGGCAUGGAAAAUUGUGUUCCUGGGUGCAUGUGAAAUGAAUUUUGAUCGUGUAUUUGUUAAUCCAUAAAGAAAGAAGUUCAAUUAAUUUUGACAAGGAGAAUCUUGAAAUAAGAAAUGGUGUCCAAGGAGAUCCUUUUUUUUCUCACGAGAAUCAUAUAUUUUGCUCCGAACAUAGAAAUGUUUGUAAAAUUUGGAACACUGGACCUUUUAUGAGCAACUUAGAGCUCAAAGAAUUGGUUAGUACAUUUCAUGAUGGAUGCGACAUUUAAUUAUUUAUUGUUAUCGCGUUACAAAAUAAAUAUUUAUUUACAUGCAGGAUUUUGAAAUUUAUAUACUAAUUAUGAGCAUGAAAGUUACAUUGCGCAAAACAAGCUCAUCUUCAUGUAUAUAUAUUAAUUGUCUAUAUUAUAAUCACUACAUAUCACACAACAUGAGCACAAAUCAAAAUAUUUUUUUUAAUUAAUAUAUUUAUAUUUAUAUAUUGCAGCUAAUGAGGUAUAUAGACAAAGAAGAAAUCUACAAAAGCAAAAGAAACGUAAACGAAAUGCAAGUGAUUUGAAUUGUAAGUAUUACAUUCUUUUAAGAUAAAAAUACGUUUAAUACGUUAUGAUAAACUAUUAUUUUUUAUUUAUUUAUAUUAUUUAUCCAUUUAGGUUCAUUGCUACAUGAAUUGAAAAAGGUGUCUGAUUGCAUUCAUUGUGGUGCCCUGUGAUAAUGGAAAAAUUAAACUUGCAUUCUCUGAAGUUCCUCCCGAGUUGGAUGAAUUGUUUACAACUCAAUCACAAGAAGCUAUUAGUUUAAGAAGGAAUAUUCAGGCUUAUAAUAGUAUAUUCCCCAUUACUUCGUUCGGAGUAAAAUUGGAUAAAGAACUUGCAUCUGCAAGACGGGGAGUUUAUUCUUUUCGAGCAAAAGGAAUGGUUUAUCAUGAUCUUCCUGGAUUGAUCCCACAAUAUACAUCUCCUACGUUUUUUUAACUAUACAUUUAUGACAUACAAAGUGAGGUUGAGAACAGACUUAACAUAAUGCAAAAUCAAAUUUUGCCAGAAGCAGUUGUAAAGAUGCUUAUGGGAAUUUUAGAGAUCAACCCGUAUGCAAAAAAAUUUUGAAGAUUGAAAGAUUAUCUUUCAAUGGACAAUGUCCAACUUCAUAUUUCCAAAGAUAUCAACUUAGAUCAACAGGUAUAUAAUUCUCCACAUGCAGAUGAAGUUGCAGCUAUAUGGGUUGAGGGAAUUAAUGAAAAUAUCCCAUUGGAGCGUGAUAUUGUAGUUCAUGCUCAUUCCGGUGAUAGACAUAGAAUAAAGCAUUAUUAUGGAUGUUAUGAUCCAUUGCAAUAUCCAUUUCUUUUUCCAAUGGGCGAAACGGGUUGGCAUCAAAACAUUAAAAAAAUUGAUCCAACGUCUUCAGUUCGUAGCACAAAUUCUGUUUCUAUUUCUACUUUAUUAGCAAAACCAUAACUGCAGACGAUAUUAUCUCUAACGAAGAAGAAGGUAUGUCUUUUAACUUUUUACAUUUUUAUAAUGUUUAUAAAUUGAUUUUAAUAAUUUGAUAAAUUAUAGUAUUAAACUUUUGGAUUUAAGAGUGUGUAAAAUAUAAAAAUAUACUUUGAAGUCUUCCUGCUCUUACCACUAACUAUUGGUACAUGGAUGACCUAAAUCCAUAAAGUGUUGAUUUGUAUUUAGAGUGUUUAGGUGAUAAUGAGUACAUUUAAUUAAUUAAAUUUAUAAACGCAAUUUGAAUGGAAAAUCUUUUGGUUGUUAAUUGGUUUGAGAUUCUUUUAUAUAAUUAAGGAAUUGUUAACACAAUUAUUUAUUUUGCAUAUAGUUAUACUUUAUUUAUUUCACUAAUCACUAUAAUAUAACUUUUAUUAUUUUUAUGUUGUAUUUUUCUAUAUUUAUAGGUAUUAGAAGAGAAAACGUUAAGAAUGUAUCGUGGAGAUAAUAUAUUUGUUAUAAGAUACAGAUUAGAAAUUCAA